rnacentral:rRNA from 1 species
CGCGUAUGCAACCUACCCUUAACAGGGGAUAGCCCGAAGAAAUUCGGAUUAAUACCCCAUAACACUAUGAAUUCACAUGAUUUUAUAGUUAAACUCCGGUGGUUAAGGAUGGGCAUGCGUGAGAUUAGCUAGUUGGUGGGGUAAUGGCCUACCAAGGCGACGAUCUCUAGCUGGUUUGAGAGGAUGAUCAGCCACACUGGGGCUGAGACACGGCCCAGACUCCUACGGGAGGCAGCAGUGGGGAAUAUUGCACAAUGGGGGAAACCCUGAUGCAGCCAUGCCGCGUGUGUGAAGAAGGCC